UACGAAGGUCCCGAGCGUUAUCCGGAUUUAUUGGGUUUAAAGGGUGCGUAGGCGGGUUAUUAAGUCAGUGGUGAAAGCCUACAGCUUAACUGUAGAAUUGCCAUUGAUACUGUCAAUCUUGAAUAUGUUUGAUGUGGGCGGAAUAUGACAUGUAGCGGUGAAAUGCUUAGAUAUGUCAUAGAACACCGAUUGCGAAGGCAGCUCACAAAAGCCAUUAUUGACGCUGAGGCACGAAAGCGUGGGGAUCAAACAGG
rnacentral:rRNA from 1 species